rnacentral:rRNA from 1 species
GGAGUGGAGCCUGCGGCUUAAUUUGACUCAACACGGGAAACCUCACCCGGCCCGAACACUGUUAUGACAGACAGGUUGAGAGCUCUUUCUCGAUUCAGUGGUUGGUGGUGCAUGGCCGUUCUUAGUUCGUGGAGCGAUCUGUCUGGUUAAUUCCGAUAACGAACGAGAUUCUUGCCUGCUAAAUAGACGGCGUCGACUGUGUGCGACGACCGUUUGCUUCUUAGAGGGACAAGCGGCUUUUAGCCGCGUGAAGCUGAGAGCAAUAACAGGUCAGUGAUGCCCUCAGAUGUUCGGGGCCGCACGCGCGCUACACUGUUUGCAUCAGCGUGUUUCUCCCGCGCCGGUCGGCGCGGGCAACCCGUUGAACCGCAAACGUGCUAGGGAUCGGAGAUUGCAAUUGUUCUCCGUCAACGAGGAAUUCCUUGUACUGGCGAGUCAUCAGCUCGCGGGGAAUCUGUCCCUGCCCUUUGUACACACCGCCCGUCGCUACUACCGAUUGAGUGGUUUAGUGAGGCUCACGGACUGCGAGCGGCACCCGUCGGCUUCGGCCGUCAACGGCGUCGCGAGCGGAAAGUGAGACGAACUUGAUCACUUCUAGGAAGUAAAA